rnacentral:rRNA from 1 species
UACGAAGGGUGCAAACGUUGCUCGGAAUUAUUGGGCGUAAAGCGCACGUAGGCGGCUUAGCAAGUCGGAUGUGAAAGCCCUCGGCUCAACCAAGGAAGUGCAUCCGAAACUGCUGAGCUUGAGUACUUAAGAGGAUCGCGGAAUUCCCGGUGUAGAGGUGAAAUUCGUAGAUAUCGGGAGGAACACCUGUGGCGAAGGCGGCCAUCUGGACAACUACUGACACUGAGACGCGAAAGCGUGGGUAGCAAACAGG